CCGCCUUUGCCUUGGUGAAGAAAAGUCGCCGCGUUCCUCUUGCCUGAUGAAAUCCUCUUCUCGUCUCGAUCCGAGCCUCCGCGUGGCUUCACGAUCAGAUGCUUGGUCCGAUCGAACAACGGUGAGUCUUGCUCUGUUACUUGAUUGUUCGAAACGCAUGGUUUUGUUUUGUGAUGAUGUGCAGGUUCCGAUCUGUUUCGUUUGAUUGAUGAGUUGACGACGCAUCGGCUCGAAGCGAGACGAGGCUGCAUGGUUUUUGUGCCUGGAGGUUUCUGAUCCGUCGAAUUGAUAUCUGCCGACCUUCAGAGCUACGACGUUCCGGGGGAAUCUGGAUCUUGACGGACUGGACAAUUGGGAGGCGUCGACGGACUUCUAAAGCAUGACUGGACAAUUGUGUGAUGUGACAUCUUGAAAGCCUUUGCCAUGUUGGGUGCGCUCGCAUGGCAGGCAUCAUAAUAAAGAUGUUGGUUUUGUGUGCUGGGUGGGAGAUCGCACGGGGAAUUGUUUUUUCAUCCCUGGGUUCUCCCGCCCUUUGUGUCCCCGUGCCGUGCUUCGUGUUGUUUGGCUUCUCGUUCUAUGCUUCAUCACCGGUGCUGCUGCAAAUUGAACGGAUCUUCUCGUCUCGCGGCGUGCUGCAAAUUGAACGGGGCUACAUCGCAACGCAACACAACACGCAAGUUAGUUUAUAUGAUACAUCGUCGUCACCGCAUGAAGAUCUACUGCUGAGCCAUAUGAAGAUCAACUGCAGUGCCUACACGAUGGACGGAGUAUUUAUAAGCUUUCUUUCUUGAUCACCGGACAGGGAAGAAAUUUUCUGCUCAAGCUCACAAUUAGAUACUAGACACAACUCAGAUAAGAGCUUGUUCAACUUGCACUAUAGUUCUUUUGAGUACUUACCUAUUAUUGAUUUCUCUUGAGGUGAAGCUAGGUUUCAAAUAUCUCCUAAGGUUUCGUAUAGGUGAAAACCAGUGAUUCUCUUUUUUUUCACUACAAUCUGUGACGUUUCAUGCCCUUACUUUGAGCUUUCUCCUUAGUGAGUUUAUUCUUAAUUCCUUCUUAAUUUUCCUCUUUUCCAAAUCAAAAGAUGUGUUGACUUUCCAGAUGUUUUUCCCUCCUUAAAAUUAAAAGAUGUUUUGACUUUCCAUUUUUUGCUAUGCAUUUAGUUAAAUCUACAUUGUAGAUAAACAAAUGUUUGUGAAUAAGUAAAAAUGCCUUAUUUGGU